UCAGUCGACUCCUACGGGGAGGCAGCAGUGGGGGAAUAUUGGACAAUGGGGGGGAACCCUGAUCCAGCCAUGCCGCGUGUGUGAAGAAGGCCUUAUGGUUGUAAAGCACUUUAAGCGAGGAGGAGGCUACUGAGACUAAUACUCUUGGAUAGUGGACGUUACUCGCAGAAUAAGCACCGGCUAACUCUGUGCCAGCAGCCGCGGUAAUACAGAGGGUGCGAGCGUUAAUCGGAUUUACUGGGCGUAAAGCGUGCGUAGGCGGCUUUUAAGUCGGAUGUGAAAUCCCCGAGCUUAACUUGGGAAUUGCAUUCGAUACUGGGAAGCUAGAGUAUGGGAGAGGAUGGUAGAAUUCCAGGUGUAGCGGUGAAAUGCGUAGAGAUCUGGAGGAAUACCGAUGGCGAAGGCAGCCAUCUGGCCUAAUACUGACGCUGAGGUACGAAAGCAUGGGGAGCAAACAGGAUUAGAUACCCUGGUAG
rnacentral:rRNA from 1 species